GCCCUGGGGGUCCAGUGGUUAGGACCCUACACUUCCACUGUAGGGGGCCAUGGUUCGAUUCCUGGUCGGGGAA
rfam:TPA: Bos taurus chromosome 25, whole genome shotgun sequence.